rnacentral:rRNA from 1 species
GACGAACGCUGGCGGCGUGCCUAAUACAUGCAAGUAGAACGCUGAAGGAGGAGCUUGCUUCUCUGGAUGAGUUGCGAACGGGUGAGUAACGCGUAGGUAACCUGCCUGGUAGCGGGGGAUAACUAUUGGAAACGAUAGCUAAUACCGCAUAAGAGUAGAUGUUGCAUGACAUUUGCUUAAAAGGUGCAAUUGCAUCACUACCAGAUGGACCUGCGUUGUAUUAGCUAGUUGGUGAGGUAACGGCUCACCAAGGCGACGAUACAUAGCCGACCUGAGAGGGUGAUCGGCCACACUGGGACUGAGACACGGCCCAGACUCCUACGGGAGGCAGCAGUAGGGAAUCUUCGGCAAUGGACGGAAGUCUGACCGAGCAACGCCGCGUGAGUGAAGAAGGUUUUCGGAUCGUAAAGCUCUGUUGUAAGAGAAGAAACGAGUGUGAGAAGUGGAAAG